rnacentral:lncRNA from 1 species
UGAUGUUUAAUUUUAAUAUACAGCGCGCCGACGUAAACCAUUAACGGCUGAGACAAUAAACAAAGAUUUUCGAGACCAAUCUAUUCAUGUUAAUUUUAUGUCCUUUGUGUAAUAUUAUAUUUAUUUUCCAUAAGAUGUGUGCGAUGUCGUUUGACCAUUUAUUUGUUAGAUUGGAUUAAAACCACAUAAAUUAAGACUAAUUAUUUACGACCAAAAAGUAUUUUUUCUCAUGAAAGGAAAAACAGUUAUCUUAAAACUUGUGUAUUAACAAUACUGAGAGGUCAAAAAUAUCUAUUCUCAGAAAACUUGCAAAAGAACAG